rnacentral:misc_RNA from 1 species
AACGCACAUUGCGCCCUUUGGCAUUCCUUAGGGCAUGCCUGUUCGAGCGUCAUCUAAACCUUCAAGCACCGCUUGAUGUUGGGCGUCUGUCCCGCCUCGGGCGCGGACUCGCCUCAAAAGCAUUGGCGGCCUGUGUGACGGCUUCGAGCGCAGCAGACGCGCGCCUCGUCUCCACGCACCGGCGUCCAGCAAGCCAUACUAAGUUUGACCUCGGAUCAGGUAGGGAUACCCGCUGAACUUAA